rnacentral:rRNA from 1 species
UACGGAGGGUGCAAACGUUGUCCGGAUUUAUUGGGUUUAAAGGGUGCGUAGGCGGCCCGUUAAGUCAGUGGUGAAAGCCUCCAGCUCAACUGGAGAACUGCCAUUGAUACUGGCGGGCUUGAGUACAGACGAGGUUGGCGGAAUUGAUAGUGUAGCGGUGAAAUGCAUAGAUACUAUCAAGAACUCCGAUUGCGUAGGCAGCUAACUAGGCUGUAACUGACGCUGAGGCACGAAAGCGUGGGGAGCGAACAGG